rnacentral:rRNA from 1 species
UACGUAGGGGGCGAGCGUUGUCCGGAGUUACUGGGCGUAAAGCGCUUGUAGGCGGUCCACCAAGUUUGGGGUGACAGUUGUCGACUUAAUCGGCAAAGUGCCUCAAAGACUGGCGGACUUGAGGGCCACAGAGGGACAUGGAACUCCAGGUGUAGUGGUGAAAUGCGUAGAUAUCCGCAGGAAUACCAGUGGCGAAGGCGGCACUCUGGGUUGUACCUGACGCUGAGGCGCGAAGGCUAGGGGAGCGAACAGG